GAUGAACGCUGGCGGCGUGCCUAAUACAUGCAAGUGAAACGGGUGUCUUCGGACACUAGUCGCGAACGGGUGAGUAAUACGUAGGCAACCUGCCCUAAAGAGGGGGAUAACUGAGGGAAACUUCAGCUAAUACCGCAUAAAGAACGCAAGGCAUCUUGCGGAGAUGAAAGGAGGGUCAAACCUCCGCUUUAGGAUGGGCCUACGGCGCAUUAGCUAGUUGGUGAGGUAACGGCCCACCAAGGUUAUGAUGCGUAGCCGACCUGAGAGGGUGAUCGGCCACAUUGGGACUGAGACACGGCCCAG
rnacentral:rRNA from 1 species